rnacentral:tRNA from 1 species
GGUUGUGGCUCAGCGGUAGAGCGUUUGCCUAGCACGUGGGAGGCUCUGGGUUCGAUCCUCUGCACUA